AGAGUUUGAUCCUGGCUCAGAUUGAACGCUGGCGGCAUGCCUUACACAUGCAAGUCGAACGGCAGCAUGGAGAGCUUGCUCUCUGAUGGCGAGUGGCGAACGGGUGAGUAAUACAUCGGAACGUGUCCGUUUGUGGGGGACAACCGUCCGAAAGGAUGGCUAAUACCGCAUAAGACCUGAGGGUGAAAGCCGGGGACCGCAAGGCCCGGCGCAGACGGAGCGGCCGAUGAUUGAUUAGCUAGUUGGGGAGGUAAAGGCUCACCAAGGCGACGAUCAAUAGCUGGUCUGAGAGGACGACCAGCCACACUGGAACUGAGACACGGUCCAGACUCCUACGGGAGGCAGCAGUGGGGAAUUUUGGACAAUGGGGGCAACCCUGAUCCAGCCAUGCCGCGUGCGGGAAGAAGGCCUUCGGGUUGUAAACCGCUUUUGUCAGGGACGAAAAGCUCCGGAGUAAUAUGCCGGAGUGCUGACGGUACCUGAAGAAUAAGCACCGGCUAACUACGUGCCAGCAGCCGCGGUAAUACGUAGGGUGCAAGCGUUAAUCGGAAUUACUGGGCGUAAAGCGUGCGCAGGCGGUUGGGUAAGACAGAUGUGAAAUCCCCGGGCUUAACCUGGGAACUGCAUUUGUGACUGUCCGACUGGAGUACGUCAGAGGGGGGUGGAAUUCCACGUGUAGCAGUGAAAUGCGUAGAUAUGUGGAAGAACACCGAUGGCGAAGGCAGCCCCCUGGGACGCAACUGACGCUCAUGCACGAAAGCGUGGGGAGCAAACAGGAUUAGAUACCCUGGUAGUCCACGCCCUAAACGAUGUCUGCUGGUUGUUGGGAAUUUAAUUCUCAGUAACGAAGCCAACGCGUGAAGCAGACCGCCUGGGGAGUACGGUCGCAAGAUUAAAA
rnacentral:rRNA from 1 species